UACGAAGGGGGCUAGCGUUGCUCGGAAUCACUGGGUGUAAAGCGCACGUAGGCGGAUCGUUAAGUCAGGGGUGAAAUCCUGGAGCUCAACUCCAGAACUGCCUUUGAUACUGAAGAUCUUGAGUUCGGGAGAGGUGAGUGGAACUGCGAGUGUAGAGGUGAAAUUCGUAGAUAUUCGCAAGAACACCAGUGGCGAAGGCGGCUCACUGGCCCGAUACUGACGCUGAGGCACGAAAGCGUGGGGAGCAACAGG
rnacentral:rRNA from 1 species